rnacentral:rRNA from 1 species
UACGUAGGGCGCAAGCGUUGUCCGGAAUUAUUGGGCGUAAAGAGCUCGUAGGUGGUUUGUCGCGUUGUUCGUGAAAACUCACAGCUUAACUGUGGGCGUGCGGGCGAUACGGGCAGACUGGAGUACUGCAGGGGAGACUGGAAUUCCUGGUGUAGCGGUGGAAUGCGCAGAGAUCGGGAGGAACACCCGUAGCGAAGGCGGCACUCUGGGCCGGUACUGACGCUGAGGAGCGAAAGCGUGGGGAGCAAACAGG